GAUGAACGCUGGCGGCGUGCCUAAUACAUGCAAGUCGAGCGAACGGACGAGAAGCUUGCUUCUCUGAUGUUAGCGGCGGACGGGUGAGUAACACGUGGAUAACCUACCUAUAAGACUGGGAUAACUUCGGGAAACCGGCGCUAAUACCGUAUAAUAUUUUGAACCGCAUGGUUCAAAAGUGAAAGACGGUCUUGCUGUCACUUAUAGAUGGAUCUGCGCUGCAUUAGCUAGUUGGUAAGGUAACGGCUUACCAAGGCAACGAUGCAUAGCCGACCUGAGAGGGUGAUCGGCCACACGGGAACUGAGACGCGGUCCAGACUCCUACGGGAGGCAGCAGUAGGGAAUCUUCCGCAGUGGGCGAAAGCCUGACGGAGCAACGCCGCGUGAGUGAUGAAGGUCUUGGGAUCGUAAAACUCUGUUAUUAGGGAAGAACAUAUGUGUAAGUAACUGUGCACAUCUUGACGGUACCUAAUCAGAAAGCCACGGCUAACUACGUG
rnacentral:rRNA from 1 species